rnacentral:rRNA from 1 species
UACGUAGGGGGCAAGCGUUGUCCGGAAUCAUUGGGCGUAAAGCGCGUGUAGGCGGCCCGGUAAGUCCGCUGUGAAAGUCGGGGGCUCAACCCUCGGAUGCCGGUGGAUACUGUCGGGCUAGAGUGCGGAAGAGGCGAGUGGAAUUCCUGGUGUAGCGGUGAAAUGCGCAGAUAUCAGGAGGAACACCAAUUGCGAAGGCAGCUCGCUGGGACGUGACUGACGCUGAGACGCGAAAGCGUGGGGAGCAAACAGG